CCGGCAGCUCAAGUGGUCGUCGCUUUUAUUGGGCCUAAAACGUCCGUAGCCUGUUUGGUAAAUCUGUGGGUAAAUCAGCCAGCUUAACUGGUUGAAUUCUGCAGAGACUGCCAGACUAGGGACCGGGAGAGGUGUGGGGUACUCUAGGGGUAGGGGUAAAAUCCUGUCAUCCUUAGAGGACCACCAGUUGCGAAGGCGCCACACUGGAACGGAUCCGACGGUCAGGGACGAAGCCUAGGGGCACGAACCGGAUUAGAUACCCGGGUAGUCCUAGGUGUAAACGCUGUGAACUUGGUGUCGGGAGUCCGCAAUGGGCCCCCGGUGCCGGAGUGAAGAUGUUAAGUUCACUGCCUGGGGAGUACGGUCGCAAGGCUGAAACUUAAAGGAAUUGGGCGGGGGAGCACUGCAACGGGAGGAGCGUGCGGGUUUAAUUGGAUUCAACGCCGGAAACUCACCAGGGCCGACUGUUAGAUGAAGACCAGUGUAACGACUUGUCCGGAUUUUCAAAGAGGUGGUGCAUGGCCAGGGCG
rnacentral:rRNA from 1 species